UUUUUUUUUUUUUUAAUAAUUUUUUUUAUUUUUCCACUGUACAGCAAGGGGGUCAGGUUAUCCUUACAUGUAUACAUUGCAAUUACAGUUUUUCCCCCACCCUUUGUUCUGUUGCAACAUGAGUAUCUAGACAAAGUUCUCAAUGCUAUUCAGCAGGAUCUCCUUGUAAAUCUAUUCUAAAUUGUGUCUGAUAAGCCCAAGCUCCCAAUCCCUCCCACUCCCUCCCCCUCCCAUCAGGCAGCCACAAGUCUCUUCUCCAAGUCCAUGAUUUUCUUUUCUGAGGAGAUGUUCAUUUGUGCUGGAUAUUAGAUUCCAGUUAUAAGUGAUAUCAUAUGGUAUUUGUCUUUGUCUUUCUGGCUCAUUUCACUCAGGAUGAGAUUCUCUAGUUCCAUCCAUGUUGCUGCAAAUGGCAUGAUGUCAUUCUCUUUUAUGGCUGAGUAGUAUUCCAUUGUGUAUAUAUACCACAUCUUCCGAAUCCAAUCAUCUGUUGAUGGACAUUUGGGUUGUUUCCAUGUCCUGGCUAUUGUGAAUAGUGCUGCAAUGAACAUGAGGGUGCAUGUGUCUCUUUUAAGUAGAGUUUUGUCCGGAUAGAUGCCCAAGAGUGGGAUUGCGGGGUCAUAUGGAAGUUCUAUGGAUAGAUUUCUAAGGUAUGUCCAAACUGUUCUCCAUAGUGGCUGUACCAGUUUACAUUCCCACCAACAGUGCAGGAGGGUUCCCUUUUCUCCUCAGCCCUUCCAGCACUUGUUAUUUGUGGAUUUAUUAAUGAUGGCCAUUCUGACUGGUGUGAUAUCUCAUGGUAGUUUUGAUUUGCAUUUCUCUUAUAAUCAGCGAUGUUGAGCAUUUUUUCAUGUGUUUGUUGGCCAUCUGUAUAUCUUCUUUGGAGAAAUGUCUAUUCAGGUCUUUUGCCCAUUUUUCCCUUGAUUGAUUGGUUUUUUUGCUGUUGGGUUGUAUAAAUUGUUUAUAUAUUCUAGAGAUUAAGCCCUUGUCAGUUGCAUCAUUUGAAACUAUUUUCUCCCAUUCUGUAAGUUGUCUUUUUGUUUUCUUUUGGGUUUCCUUUGCUGUGCAAAAGCUUUUCAGUUUGAUGAGGUCCCAUGGGUUUAUUUUUGCUGUUAUUUCUAUUGCUUUGGGAGACUGACCUGAGAAAAUAUUCAUGAUGUUGAUGUCAGAGAGUGUUUUGCCUAUGUUUUAGAAGUUUGUACCUUUUAUUCUCCCUCACCUAUUUCUCUUCUCCCACUCUCUCCCCUCUGGCAACCAUUUGUUCUCUGUAUUUAUGUUUUGUAUUGUUAUGUCUGUUCAAUUGUUUUCUUUUUUAAAUUUCACUUAACAUAAUACCUUCUAGGUCAAGAUUUCACUCUUUUUUUAUGGCUAAUAUUUCAUUGUGCAUAUAUACAAAAUCUUCUUUAUCCAUUCAUCCAUUGUAGGGUCCACAGUGUCCUAAACCUAGUGUUGGCCAGCUGGUGAGGGGGCUAGAUCCCAGGGCAGCCAACUGAAGGGCCCAUAGUGUCACAGAGCUGGUUUUGUCCUGCUGGUUGUCAGGGCCAGGUCCCAGGGUUCCUCUGGCUAGUGCCAAUCUAUUGCUGGGCAGAGUUGCUAGGGCUUUUGACAGCAGGGCCCUGGGGAGUCUUAGAGGUGAUGUUAGCCUCUCUGGUGGACAGGGCUGGUGUCCAGGGGGCCCUGGGUUAAUGCCAGCUUCUUGAUGGAUGUGGUUGGUCUUGAUACUGGUAGGGUAUGAAGCUGUAGUGGUCCUGGAGGUGUCUGUCCACUGGUGGGCAAGACUAGGGUCCAGGGUAUCCUGGGGUUGGUGCCCAUUUAUUGAUGUGUGGAGCCAGUGCCCAGGGUGUCUUGGGGCUAAUGUUAGUCUGCUGGUGGGAAGAUCCGGGUCCUGGUGUCUCUGUUUGUAGGGCCCUGGGGUUCCAGAGUUGGUAUCUUCCCAAUGGUCGGUGGAUCAGGUCUCAGUGGCUAGCUGUAGGCCCUCAGGGAUCCCUUAGUAGUGCUAGUGCACUGGUGGGGUCCUGUGUCCAAGGAUGGCUGGAUGCUCAGGGAGUCUUAAGGCAGUUGAUAAUGUGGGUAGAUCUGUGUUCUCUUCUGGCUAGCUAUUUGACCUAAAGCAUCCCAGUGCUGAUGCCAACAGGCUGGUGGGCAGGGCCAGUCUUAUGCUUAAAAAGCUAGAGGGGUGAUUAAAAAUGGCAUUUUCCAGCACAGUGUCCUCAUGAUAGAAUAAGCUCUUCAUAAUGGCUGCUGCUAGCAUCUCUGUCCUCAGAGUGAGCUCCAGUUGACUCCUACCUCUCCCAGAGCCUCUCUAAGAUCAGCUGGAGGGUCUGAUCCAGGCUUCUUUGAAAUUAUUGCUUCUUCCCUGGGUCUUAGAGCAUGUGAGACUUUGGGUGUGCCUUUUAAGAGUGGAGUCUCAAUUUUCUACCAUUUGCUUCUGAAAGUAAGUCCUUCUGAUCCUCCAAGCCAAACAUUCUGGGGGCUCAUCCUUCCAGUGCAAGACCCUGGGGCUGGGAAGUUCAAUACGGGGCUUGGAUACCUCACUCCUUGGGAAGAAUCUUUGCAGUAAUAAUUAUCCCCCUAUUUGUGGUUGAUCCCCUUCCUCCGACGGGUAUCAGUCUUGACUAUACAGCAUCUCUGCCCCUCCUACCCAUCCCAUUGUGGCUUCUUUAUAUCUUUUGUUGUAGGUCUUUUCUGCUAGUCUUCAAGUCUUUGUCAUCAGUAGUUCUGUAAAUAGUGGUAGUUUUGGUGUGCCUGUGAAAGGAAGUGAGCUCAGGGUUUGCCUUCACUAUUUUGGCUACUCCUUCCACUGACAUUUUUCUUUCUAAAUUAUAUGCAGAGAGAUGUCCAAAAGAUGUUCAUUAAAUGUUAAACUUGUUUUUUGAUGAUUUUUAAGUAAUUUAUUGCUUUUUAAAAUGUGUUCUUUUCUAUACUACUUAGUUUUAAGAAGUUAGCCUUAUUGUUAUUUUUUUAAGAAGAGUGAUUAUUCUUUAAAAAAGUGCCUUCUUCUAAGGAAAAGUAUGAACUAGAAAAAGAUCAAGCUCAGAAAUAAAAGGGGUAGGAGGUUGGGAAACAUCUAUCCUUUUUGGUGCUUGUCAUCAUUUUGAUCAUUUUGAUGGUAUCAAUCCCAGAAAUGUAAAAUGUAAAACAUUGUAGACUUAUGGAACUAUCAAACAAUCAUAACAUUGAAGUAUUUUCCAAAGCUGAACAUAAAUUUUUCUGUUUUUCAUGGUAAUAUAUAGUGUUUUCUGAGUGUAUGUGUUGAAUGAAUUUGUCCCUUAAUAUGUCUUUAUUUAGCUCUUAGAAUUAUCUGGUUUUAUUAAUUUAUUUCAACAUUAUUACUGAGUGCUGCAUCAGUUUAUAUCUUCAUAUGGGUAGACACUGAAAUUGUGAUUUGAGUAAAGGGUCCCUGUUUGUGCUGUGAUACAAGGAGGGCGGGGGGAUAGAGGAUCAAAAAACAAAGAGAGCAAAUGGGAAAUAUAUAAUUAAAUGGGAGAUCUAAGUACCCAUAUCAGUAAUUACAUUAGAUGUUAAUGGACUGAACUUCAAUGAAAAGGCAGAGAGUAUCAGAAUGGAUAAAAUAUUCAAUUUGACAUCAGCAGGAGAUUUUCUUAAAGACAUAGGCUGCUAGAGUUCCUGUCAUGGCUCAGCAGAAAUGCAUCCAACUAGUAUCCAUGAUGCAGGUUCAAGCCCUGGCCUCGCUCAGUGGGUCAGGGAUCUGGCAUUGCCAUGAGCUGUGGUGCAGGUCACAGAUGCGGCUCGGAUUCUGCGUGGCUGUGGCUGUGGCAUAGGCUGGAGGCUGUAGCUUCUAUAUGGCCCCUAGCCUGAGAAUUUCCAUAUGCUGCAGGUAUGGCCCCUUUUAAAAAGCAAAAAAACAAAACAAAAACAAACAAACAAACAAAAACCCCAAUAAACCAAAGGCACAGGCUGAAGGGAUGCUGUUAAAAUCAGAUAAAAUAGAAUGCAAAACAGACUGUUGUAGGCAAUAAAGAGGGGACAUUUCAUAAUGCUGAGUGAAUUCAUCAGGAAGCCAUAGCAAUCAUAAAUGUAUAUAACCAAUAACAGGUUAAAAAUAUAUAAAGCAAAAAAAUAAUAAAAUUAGGGAAGAGUUAUAAUUAGAAAUUUUUAUCACACUACUCUCAGCAAUUGCUAGACUAUCUAGAUGAAAAAAUCAGUAGAGACAUAGAUGAUCUGAUGAAUAUAAUUAGUUAUAUGGAUAUAAGUGAUAAUUAUGGAAACUGCACCCUUAAGUUUUAAAAGACACAUUAUCAACUGUACAUCGUAUGUUCACUAACAUAGGCGAUAUUGUAGGCCAUGAAAUAUGUCUUGAUACAUUUAAUGGUUGAAAUUAAUGUAUGUUUUUUUGGCCACAAGAAAAUUAAAAUAGAAAUUAAUCAAAAUCAGUUACCUAGAGAUACUCCAAAUAUUUGGAAACUAGACAACACGAUUUAAAUAAUCCUGGAGUCACAGGGAAAAAUCUCAGGGGAAUCAUAAAAUAUUUUGAAGUGAAUUGUGUUGAUAAUACACAUCAAAAUUCAUGUGACACAGCUAAAGUAGUACUUAGAGUUAAAAUUAUAAUUCUUUUAUUAUUUAUGCUCUUAUUAAAUAGUUUCAUCAUUAAGAAAGAAAAUUCUAAAUAUUAAUAACCUGAACUCCACCUUAGGAAGCUUGAAAAAGAACAAAAUAAAUUCACAAUAAGUAAAUGUAAGGAAAUAAUAAAGAGUAGAAAUGAGUGAUGUAGAAAAUAGGCAGAUAAUAGAGAAACUUAAAGCCACAGUAUUGUUCUUUGGGAAGAUCUAGAACAAUGAUAAACUCCUAGCUUUAGUGAUCAACACAAUGACAAUGUGUUAUAAUAGUAGAAGAUUUUUGGCAUAUCUGUGGCAUACAGAAGUUCCUGGGCCAGGAAUUGAAGCUGCCACUGCAAUGACAGUGCCUCAUACUUAACCCAUUGAGCCAAAUGGGAACUCCAGAGAAGGGCUCGUUAUGAAUGGAGUUUUCAGAGGUAAUUCCAAAGAGAUGGUCGCAGUUGUAUGUGGCUUUCAAGAAUUACAGCAUCCUUGGAUGUCUGUGGGAGAUUGGUUCCAGGACCCACUGCACAUACCAAAAUCCAUAGAUACUCAAGUCCCAUAGUUGUUCCUCCAUAUCUGCAGUUCUGUAUCCAUGGAUUCGGCAACCACGGAUCAUGUAGAACUACAUGUAUUUAUUGAAAAAAAUCCAUAUGUUAGUGGACCCACCCAGUUCAAACCUGUGUUGGUCAAGGGUCACCUAUAGUAUUUUUUUCUCAUAUACGUUGGGGAAAAAGGUAUUCUAAGUAGAGGAAAAGUAAGAGCAAGGGUGUGGGUUUUUUUUUUUUUUUUUUGACAAGUUCAUAGCAUAUUAAGAAUGACAUAUUUUUUGUAUCUAUAACAUAAGGAUUGUGUGAAGGUGAAGAGCAAUAGGUGAUGAGAAAGAAAAGUAGUUUGAGACUAGAAUGUAUACAACCUAGAAUAUCUUUCUUGGUAAUUUGUACUUUAUUCUCUUGAAAAUAGCAGGCCAUCUAAAGUUUUUAAAAGCAAUAUUUCAAACAGAAGAUAUUGGGAAUGAAAAAUUGAGUGUUUAUUACCACUACCCCACUCUAACAAAUAAACCUUUACCAUAUGUAUUCAGAUUUUUAAAAAACUUUAAACAGUAUAGUCAAAGCCGUCUUUAUACCUCUUCAUCACAUGCCACAAGUAAGUCCUAUUCUGAAGUUAUAUAUCCUUACCGUGAAUUUUUUUUAUACUUUUACUGCUUAGUUAUAUAUUAAUGAUUGUUUUUCUAUGCUAUUAAACUUUGUAAAAAUUCUAUUUUAUUUAUUCCACAAAUUGUUUUUUUUCACUCGUUACUUUUGAGAUAAAGGAUAUUUAGCAACUAUGGAAUGGUGUAGCCAUAGGAGUUAUUUACAAUAUCUUUUCUGGUUGGUGCCAUAGUAAUUGUUAAAUAUUUUUUUUUUUUGUCUUUUUUGUCUUUUGUUGUUGUUGUUGUUGCUAUUUCUUGGGCCACUCCCGCGGCAUAUGGAGGUUCCCAGGCUAGGGGUUGAAUCGGAGCUGUAGCCACCGGCCUACGCCAGAGCCACAGCAACGUGGGAUCCGAGCCGCGUCUGCAACCUACACCACAGCUCACGGCAACGCCGGAUCAUUAACCCACUGAGCAAGGGCAGGGACUGAACCCGCAACCUCAUGGUUCCUAGUCGGAUUUGUUAACCACUGCGCCACGACGGGAACUCCGAAUUGUUAAAUAUUUUUAAUAGCUUGCCCUUGGAUUAAUCUGUACUGAUAAAUACAUUAAUCUACCCAAUUCAUUUCAAAUAUUGUAUUGUACUUGGUAAAAACAAAAUGGAUCUGUUAUCCUAUUGAUGGACAUUUAGGUCAUUUCCAGUUAUUUACUGUUAAAUGCAAUGCUGCAGUAAAAUCCUCAGAGGAAUUCUUGUGCAUACAUGAGAAUUUCCUUAGUGUUUUUAUUAAAGUGAAAUUAUGUUGUAUGUAAAGUGAAAUAUGUGUUACUCUCCAGAGUAAUUGUCCCAAUUUACAGUCUCACCAAAGAGUAUGAGAAUAUUGGUUUCUCAAUAACAUUUUCUUUCCUCUCUAUAUCUCUUUCUCCCCAGGUUAGCUUUUCAGCAUUUUGUUAUCAUUUGUUUAAAAAAUUUGCCCAUAUGAUAGAUAUGAAAUUAUAUCUUGUGAUUUAAUUUACCUUUCACUAAUUAUUAGUACUGUUGAAGAUCUUUUCAUAGGCUUAUAAAUGAUUCUGGUUUCCUUUCCUGAAGUUUCUGUACACAUUAUUUACUCUUAUCUACUGGGUUAUUUUGUCUUUUAAUUUUUUUAAUUGAUUUAUGAUAGUAUUUUUGAAAAUAAUCUGUAUUCCAGUUUAUGAUAGUUUUAAAAAAAAAUGUUUUGGAUAUCAUUCUUUAAAAAUUUUUUUCUCUUGAAAAUAAUUUUAAACUUAAAAACUAACCGGAGUUCCCGUCAUGGCUCAGUGGUUAACGAAUCCAACUAGGAACCAUGAGGUUGCGGGUUCAAUCCCUGGCCUUGCUCAGUGGGUUAAGGAUCUGGUGUUGCCAUGAGCUGUGGUGUAGGUCACAGACGUGGCUCGGAUCUGGUGUUGCUGUGGCUCUGGUGUAGGCUGGUGGCUAUGGCUCUGAUUAGACCCCCAGCCUGGGAACCUCCAUAUGCUGCGGGUGCGGCCCUAGAAAAGACAAAAUAAAUAAAUAAAUAAACUAAAAAACUUACCAAAAAGUAAUAUAAGGAACACAUGUAUUCUCUUAUCAAGAUUUGUCAGUUGUGGAGUUCCCAUUGUGGCUCAGCGGAAACAAAUCUGACUAGUAUCCAUGAGGAUGCAGGUUCGAUCCCUGGCCUCGCUCAGUGGGUUAAGAAUCUGCCAUUGUCAUGAGGUGUGGUGUAGGUCACAGAUGCGGCUCUAAUCUGAUGUUGCUGUGGAUGUGGCGUGGGCCAGCAGCUAUAGCUCUGAUUAGACCGCUAGUCUGGGAACUUUCAUAUACCGAAGGUGUGGCCCUAAAAAGACCAAAAAACAAACAAAAAAGCCUUGUUUCUUAGGUGCUUGUGAUAUGUCCCCAACAUUUAUUUGAACAUUUCCUUACUUUUGUUAUCAUUAAGACUCAUCUUAUACUUAUCCCACCUCACCUCAAAAUUAUCCUAUUUUGGAGUUCCCAUCAUGGCUCAGUGGAAACUAAUCUGAGUAGCAUCCUUGAGGAUGCCAGUUCGAUCCCUGGCCUCACUCAGUCGGUUAAGGAUCUGGCAUUGCUGUGAGUUGUGGUGUAGGUCACCGACGCGGCUCAUAUUUGACAUUGUGGUUGUGGCUUAGCUUAGGCCAGAAGCUAUAGCUCUAAUUAGACCCCUAGCCUGGGAACCUCCAUAUGCCGCCAGUUUGGCCCUAAAAAGACAAAAAAAAAAAA
rnacentral:lncRNA from 1 species